rnacentral:tRNA from 1 species
CAGGGAGACAACAAAAUGUUAAAUAUUAAUUUUGUCACCUUAGGUCGAUCGGUAUCUCACAUUCUUAAUUUAUUAAGAAUUUUAUUUCCUAAGUUUUUUCUAGGUCACACCCAUUAUUUUCCUGGGCCAUUAGCUCAGGUGGUUAGAGCGCACCCCUGAUAAGGGUGAGGUCCCUGGUUCAAGUCCAGGAUGGCCCAUAUCUCUAUGUUGGGGGUAUAGCUCAGUUGGUAGAGCGCCUGCUUUGCAAGCAGGAUGUCAGCGGUUCGAGUCCGCUUACCUCCACUGAUUACCACCUCUUCCAUAAUUUAUAGAAAGGAAAUUUUUUGAGUUGUGAUCAAAUUCUGAACGAAUCUAGCUUCCUAAUAAUUAAAUUAAGAUGCUGGACUCAUUGAAUUAAUUUUCAUUGUUUUCAGAGAACCUUGACAACUGCAUAGAUUAUUUUAAAGACAAUAAGCAUCUUUAAUGAUGCAGAUUUAUUAUUUGUGCGAAUGCAUCAAAUAACAAUUCUAUUAAGCUGAUGCUUCAA